rnacentral:tmRNA from 1 species
GGGGCCGACUGGUUUUGACAGCGGGUCUAAUUGUAUGGUAAGCAUGUCGAGCGCUGGGAUAUAGCUCGUAAAUAUCAUAUUCAAACUUUUUUAAACGGCGAGAAUAACUACGCCCUAGCUGCAUAAUCUGAAUUAUAGUAAGAUUACGCCUCGGUCCGCAAGGCGGACAAGCAGGAAGUCACUCAACCACCUUGGUUUACGGUUGUUGAUAUAGUGACUUCGUAAAAGUAAACCUAUUAGCCAUAGUGCCUUGAUAUGGCUAAGACACUUAAGCGAGGAUAAGGAAUGCGUUGGUAGUUUUUGACCGGCAAUUUCUCGAAAACCUAAACAAGAACUAAACAUGUAGAAAGCUCUAUAAUUGCACGUUUGGACGAGGGUUCGAAUCCCUCCGGCUCCACCU